ACUUGUGAUUAGAAUUUGCCAAGCUCUGAGUUUGGGGUUGGGGCCCCCAUUCGCUGAGCUCACUCUCUCCCCACCACUGAAAAGACCAAAAGAAAAUGUAGAAAGUGAAAAUCCCACAAUGAUCGAUGCUGAUAGCUUGUUAUGAAAACACUAAUAAAUAUUUAAUUGGGUUGUCCAUUCUUUAAAUUCUUGUCUAAAUAUGACUUCAUGGUUACAGAGUUGUGUUAGAUUUGUAUGGAAGGACAUUAAUUAUUCAAGUUGAGCCAUUAUAGGAGCAAAUGGGUUUGCAGAUUCUUUUCUUUUCCCAUGGACUUGGGAUUGAUGGAAGUGGAGACAACCAAUCCAUUUUCCUCUGUUUCCAGCACACGUCACUUGUUAAGUUAAUGUGGGGUUAUUAUCAUCCACCAGGUCUUCCAUUGGGCCAAGCUCUACUUCAUAGCUUGGAGCAUAGAAAGUGACAAUAGAAAGCCUGUCUUUUUCCUUAUGAGUCACUGCCCUAUGUUCCACACUCUUGUAUUUUCCAUUUGUUAGAACCUGUACAAUCAAGAAAGACUUAGCUAUAUAUAAUAUUUAUAGAGAAA